rnacentral:rRNA from 1 species
UACGGAGGGGGCAAGCGUUAUUCGGAAUUAUUGGGCGUAAAGGGCGCGUAGGCGGCUAGAUGUGUCAAAGGUGAAAUCCCUCGGCUCAACUGAGGAACUGCCUUUGAAACUGUCUGGCUUGAGGCCGGGAGAGGGUAGCGGAAUUCCCAGUGUAGCGGUGAAAUGCGUAGAUAUUGGGAGGAACACCAGUGGCGAAGGCGGCUACCUGGACCGAUACUGACGCUGAGGCGCGAAAGCGUGGGUAGCAAACAGG